GAGGGUAUAGCUCAGUGGUAAAGCACAUGCUUAACAUGCACAAGGUCCUGGGUUCAAUGCCCAGUAUCUCCU
rnacentral:tRNA from 1 species